UUUUUGGGCGAUUUUUUUGACUUCGCCUCGACCCACACAAUCGCACAGGACUGGCCCUAAGAAUAGGACUGGACAAAAUGGUACAAAUAGACAUUGUUCCAUUUUUCCAAUUCACUGGUCCUUUCUCCAGAUACCUUCAGAAAGCCAUUUCACGCCGAUAAUCCAAUUUGAAUUCGUUAUGAAGGCGAUCAUUUUACUAUUCUUAUCUAUUAAUUCAGUUCCGAAUUGAGUAUUUGAAUUGUUAUUUGCCUACACUUGAGCUGUCAAGAGUGGCGGAUGGGCAGGCGAUGAAGCGUGCCAAGUAUAAGCCUUCUGUCGAAAUCCCGGCGUUGCUGGCCUACUCAAAACGGGAAGUAAGGGGCUCAUGUACCUAAAGAUAUUGUAUCUGGUGUUUCGUGACCAGACUCAGCUAUUGCAUAUUUCAUGGAAAAUCUGGAAAAGCUACAUCUGAAUAGCCUGAUGUGCUCCACUUCAGGAUGAACAGUUAGCACAGCAGAAAUGGAACAUCAUAUAAAGCUACUGCAGGAGGACAAGUAAUUAUACAUUCAUAUAUUUAAUUAUAAAUGUGACUUGGCCACCUAUGCUUUGCUGCAUGGUGCACACAUCUUUCAGUGGCUGGAAUCAUAUUUUCAAAUCUCAUUUAUGUGUGGAGGAAAGGUCACUGAUAUACCUAUGUUGCUUCUUGAAUUUGACUAUUUUAUUAUCUCACAAUGCCUUGAAUCUCAUUGCAACUGACUUAGGUCAUAGCGUUGUGAUCUUCCGAUCUCAUAGAUGCAUGUAGAAUUAUGUCGAAAGAAGUUUUUCUGACUUUAUGACCUUGGCUCCAUAGGAGCAAGUCAGGUUGGUUAAUAUGCAGUUAUUGGAUGUUAUGAUUUGAAAUUGCAAUUGAACUAAUAUGAUUUGAAGACAUAAAGAAAUGACGAAGUUGGGGACGGGUAUUUUGACCUAUCAUUCAAGCCAACUAGUUUCUCACUGGACAAAAUUUCGGUGCUUUCUGUUGAGUCGCUUUCAAAUAAAAUACCAUGUGAAUCUUAUUAAUUAUUUUAAUCCUUUAUACUACUAUUAUAUUCAAUAUUUAGCCCCUAUUUGAGCCUCAUUCUUUAAAAUUCAUUUUUCCUCAAACUUAUUUUCAACCACACAGUCUCCUAAGAUAAUUUUGCAUGUAAACUCAAAACUUUUACCUACAUUUACUUUUUACAAUAUCUAUUCUAAAGAAAUGGAGCUCAAACAGGAGCCUAAAGUAUAAGCUAAAUUGCUUUUUUGAAGUUGGUGUUUGGAAGUUAUAUUUGGUGCUACUUCCAAUUUCUCACCUCCCUUUACAACCAUAUAUUUCUCUUUAAAAAAAAAGAAAAAAAAAAAAACCUGAUGUUCCUUCUGUGAGAAUAGAAUUUAAAACCAUGCAGUUCAGUUGAUCUUUACAGUUUGUUGGAUUGUUUUGUUCUGUUUUCCUUAUAUAGGUUCUUUACUUUAAGUCCCUGUUGACAACCAUUAAAAGAGACCUUUUUUCUUCUCAAAUUCAUUUUCAACCACAUAUUCUCACGAUAAAAUAUUUUGCACGUAAAUCCAAAACUUUUUCCUACUUUUUAACCACACAUUUUCCAAAAGUUCAUUAUUCCAAAAUUCAUUUUCUCCCCAAAAAAACUCAAACGGGGGCUAAAUCCCACCUAUAGGUUGUGUAACUAAAUAAUGUGACUGGGAGAGAAUUGCAGAGGCUUCACAAGCAUUUUAUAAUUGGAGGUAUGCUAACAGAGGCUGAAAUUUGGGUGACAAAGAAGGUUAGAAAUGGAUUUUGAACUUCGGGGUCUAUAUUGAUUGUUCCAAAGAAAAAAUAAUGAAAAAAUGAAACAAUUAUCAUUUAUUCUGCCGUGUUUCGUCCUUAUUUUUUCAACAUAUCUCAUAAUUAUCUGUUUCCAGAAUAGCUUUUCCUCAAUUUUCUUUUUGGGAUAAAGUUGUUUGAUAAAUGUUUGAGGAAGUUAGAUAAUUAAUAACACGAUAAAAACGUACGAAAUUCUGACAGUUCUUGUAAACUCAUUGAGAGCAUUAUGCAGGCAAGUGUUGUGUAAACCUUUUUUCUGUAAAUGGUUUCCAAUUUUGUUUGACACAUCAUUUUGGCAAAUGUUACCAAACCGCUAGUUUGAAAAAUUGAAAAGGAUAGAGCAAACUCUGCAUUUAGUUGAUCUAGAGCUACUGAUCGAAAAUAUAUGAUAAAUAAUCAUAAUUCUUUAGUGAAUUACAGAUCAGAAUGUCAGAAGAAGGCCUAAGCAGCAUGUGGCCUUAAAAAACAAAAUGUGAACUGUGAAGCCCUUAUCAGAUUGUCAGGCGUGGUACUGCAAUUGAGGUCACUUAUUUCAGAGAAGCAGCUGCUGUUGUCAUUGCUAGAGUUAAACUGAAAGAUUCUCAGGGCCAAAGAUCUAAACGAGCAUUAGUCAUCAGCUAGCAGUAAUUUCUGAAAAUGAAUCAAGCUAUCCAAGGUGACAACUCUGGUGCCUCUUCAGUUCUGCCACUGAAGCGGGGGCGUGGCCGCCCUCGGAAAGAUCCAAACCUGAAGCAAGUUAAAACUGCACUUGGACCACCUGGUUUUGAUGGAGCGAAAGGAAUCCGUCCCAUUGAAGUGGAUAGAAUAGAUGUAAAUGAAAAUAUGGUGGGUCAGGCAGUGACUGGUGUUGUUGAGGCCACCUUUGCUGCUGGUUAUAUUCUUAAUGUUAGAAUUGGCAACUCCAAUACUACUUUGAGGGGUGUUGUUCUCAAGCCAGGACAUUGCGUUCCCAUCACAGAUGAAAAUGACAUAGCUCCACAUGUUCAAAUGAUAGGAAGAAACGACAGCCAGCCAUAAAAACACUCUCUCCGUUGAAUAUUUUGUGUGAAAUCUGUUUUGCUUUACAAUCUUACCUUUCCAUUGUUAUAUGCAUUUUUUAGUGCUCAAUUACUCUAAAAUCUUCUAGGUAUGCACGGCUUUUUCCGUCCCUGGGCUGUAUGUUCUUUUUCCUGUUAGUAUUGUUAUCAGACAUGCACUUUCCAAAGGAUUAUGCUAUACAGGGAAAUGGGUCUGGUUA